UGAAGGAAACCGAGGAAUGCUGGCCUGUUCAGGAACUCCCGCCUCUCUUGGCAACCUGAAGUUUUUGGUUUGAAAAUAACCCAGGAAUUCUCGCACCUUGGUUUACUUUCUAGUUAUUUUAUGUACUGGAGCAUUCGAGAUACAAGAUUCGGAUUCCAGAUUCGAGAGAUAAGUAGAUAUCGAAAGCCGUUUUCAUGUCUAACAGGAGGGAUCUGAAAACGAACAGUUUCCAGUCCGUUUAUAUCGAAACAGCCCGCAGCUUUAAAAAUAAGGAAAGAGGCCAGUGAGUCUGAAGCUAUUUGGUCCUUUAGUAGUAAGACAGGUGACCUCAUCGGAGCAGCAUCCACUGUGCGCAACACAACAAUUGGAGAGUGAAGGAGAAACGUGAUUGGACAGACUCAGUGCCUGCCUGGUGUGAGGAGAGGGGUUGAACUUCCCACAGAAAGAAGGAUGCCUAAGAACAACUGGAGAUUGCAGAGCUAUAGGGACAGAGUCUGUGAUAGUCUUGAAGAUCAUGUCAGGAGAACGUAAUGGAGGAGGCCUGUGUUUCUCAAGAUCAAGGUGGCUGAGUCAAUCUGAAGAGAGAAGGAGGUCAAAUGGAGAUAAUCAUUUAUAUUUGAAGGUAUUGCCUAACAUGGUCGGAAGAUGGCCAAGAAAUCCAUUGCUGUUUGCAACUUAGGCACAAUGAACAUUUGUUUCUCAGGUUCAUACACCUAACUAUAGCUUGCUACUGUACACAUGGGCUUUUGGUGAACAAU